rnacentral:rRNA from 1 species
GACGAACGCUGGCGGCGUGCCUAAUACAUGCAAGUCGAGCGAAGUUUUUCUGGUGCUUGCACUAGAAAAACUUAGCGGCGAACGGGUGAGUAACACGUAAAGAACCUGCCUCAUAGACGGGGACAACUAUUGGAAACGAUAGCUAAUACCGGAUAACAGCAUAAAUCGCAUGAUAUAUGUUUAAAAGUUGGUUUCGGCUAACACUAUGAGAUGGCUUUGCGGUGCAUUAGCUAGUUGGUGGGGUAAAGGCCUACCAAGGCGACGAUGCAUAGCCGACCUGAGAGGGUGAUCGGCCACACUGGGACUGAGACACGGCCCAGACUCCUACGGGAGGCAACAGUAGGGAAUCUUCCGCAAUGGGCGAAAGCCUGACGGAGCAACGCCGCGUGAGUGAAGAAGGAUUUCGGUUCGUAAAGCUCUGUUGUUAGGGAAGAAUGAUUGUGUAGUAACUAUACACAGUAGAGACGGUACCUAACCAGAAA